rnacentral:rRNA from 1 species
AAAAUUUUAAAGGUCGAACAGACCUAAAAUUCUUAGCCUCUACACCAAAAAUUAAUUUUAAUCCAACAUCGAGGUCGCAAUCUUUUUUUUCGAUUUGAACUCUCAAAAAAAAUUACGCUGUUAUCCCUAAGGUAAUUUAAUCUUAUAAUCAUUAUUAAUGGAUCAAAAACUUACUAAUUAAUAUUCUAAUAAAAAAAAAGUUUACUAAAUUUUUCAAUCACCCCAAUCAAAUAAAUUUAAAUUUUAAAAGUAAAAAUCCUAAAAGUACUAACAUUUAAAUUUAUAAAACUCUAUAGGGUCUUCUCGUCUUUUAAAAAAAUUUAAGCUUUUUUACUUAAAUAUAAAAUUCAAUUAAAAUAAAUCAGAGACAGUUAUUUUUUCAUCAAACCAUUCAUACCAGCUUUCAAUUAAAAAACUAAUGAUUAUGCUACCUUAGCACGGUCAAGUUACCGCGGCCCUUUAAAACUUCAGUGGGCAGGCCAGACUUUAAAUUAUAUACAAAAAGCC